rnacentral:rRNA from 1 species
UACGGGGGGGGCAAGCGUUGUUCGGAAUUACUGGGCGUAAAGGGCUCGUAGGCGGCCAACUAAGUCAGACGUGAAAUCCCUCGGCUUAACUGAGGACGUGCGGGAGAAACUGCAAGGCUCGAGUCCGGGAGAGGGGGGUGGAAUUCCCAGUGUAGCGGUGAAAUGCGUAGAUAUCUGAAGGAACAUCAGUGGCGAAAGCGACCUCCUGGACCAAUACUGACGCUAAGGUGCGAAAGCGUGGGGAGCAAACAGG